UAAACGUACAAAUUCUCCAAACAAAAUAAGGAUAGGACAUUUAGGAAAGUGGAACCCUGGUUCUAGCAAUUCUUCAAGACCCAUGAGCAUUGUUUUCCAAAUCUUUGUAUUGCUCUGUCUAUUCCAAAGCCAUAACUGUGCUCGUACAGCAUCACCGUCACCUUUAAUGUUUUUUGAUAGUGACCUGGUGACUGAGCUGCUGCGUAGUCCAUGAAAACGAUCAAGCAAUCUAUAUAAGCUAAUGAAAGCAUUUGGUGUUUUCCUCAAACGAACUAUCAUGGAAAUCUCUUUGCUUGUGAAGCGAAUCUUAGGAUUGAGCAACAACAAUGCGGUACAGCGAGUUUGGAGCAUUUUAGACACUCUUGAAGCAAUGGUUGCUCCCAUUGAAUGGCCAAUCAAUAUGAAUUGUGUAUUUUCAGGAAAUAAUUUCUCAAGGACCUUGUACGUGAGUUUCGAUAGUCCUUUUGUUGUUAAUUGAUCGACUGAACCGAUACGCUGAUUUGGAAAAGCUUGUCGUGACAGACCGCAACCCCAAUAAUCGAAGGAAAAGAGACAAGCAGUAGGUGGAAAAUAGCUCAUCACUUUUUGGAAUUGAGACAUCUGUCCCCCAAGUCCAUGAAGGAAAACAAACACUUCCUGCUUAGCAAGAUUAUGAUUUAAUGGUAUAAUGCCUGGACGCAAGUAGUAGGCCACCUUGUAUUCAUUUAAUAAUUGAUAGUCACUAGAUAUAUCAAUCUUGGAGUUGUGGGAAUUGUCGUUUGGAGAUAGGUUUUUAGAGAGACUCUCUCUCU